UGCUGCAGCGGCCGGGGGGGCGGGAAGGGGGUACCGCCGCCUUUGGCUCUUCCCACCUCCCCCGCUGGAGCAGCGGCCGGAAAAAAUAACCCGGCGGGAGGAGAAGCCCUUGGGCCCCCUCCCCGCGGCUCCCGGGAGGAAGCGGCGGCACCGGGAGCCGGGAGCAGGGCCAGGAAAGCGGCGGCGGUGGCAUCCGGGCUGCGGCGGCGGCGAGUCCGCCCUCCGAGGCGGGAGGGGCCGGGGGGGGCCGGGGGGGACCGCAGCGCCCCGAGCCCCUGGGGACACCCAGGGACACCCGUGGGGGACCCGCAGCCCCUGCCCCGGUGGUGCAGGGGGGUCCCACCCGCCUUCCUGCGCGGAGGAAGCGGCAUCGCCGCCCCCAGCCCAGCCUUGAGCCCCCGACCUCUCCCACGGGCGUGUAUUCCCCUCCCUGAUCCAAAGGAGCGGCCACACCCACUGCCGGCACCUGUUGGGAACGGGAGUGAUGCUGAGCAUUGGAUGGAUCCUGUCUUAGAUAUUGUCUGGAGCAGCCAUGGUGGGAAGAGGGGACUCCAAAUUCACUUCAAACAGCAGAACUGCUGGCACAGCUGGACAAAAAAAACCAAAAGGAACAACCUGACACGACUCAGAGCCUGGAGUGUGCAAGUUCACGUUUACAACAG